ACAACAACAAGUUGUUUGUCCCACAUCAUGCUGGGGUGGCUGGGAGGGGAUAGGGUGAGACAGGGAGCAGCCACUCCACUGAAGACCAGGCCAUGCAGAGGGGAUGAGAAGGGCAGCGUUACCUCCCGAGAGGCUACUCCAAGGAGAGCGGCUCGGGGUCACUGUUUCCCCCUUUUCAGGCUGGCCCGCUUCACUAUCUGCGCCCCCUUCCUGCCCUCUAUCAGGUCCGGCUGUAGGCCACUCCCUCUCAGCUCCACCUGCAGACAGCAGCAGAGACAGAAAGCAGGACAGAUCGCAAAGACGGGCAGAACACAGGCAGAAGAUCGAAAGGAGGCCACACGGAGGUGGCAGACACACUGCCCACCAGGGAGAAGAGAGACUGGAGAGAGAGCUCAUAAAGAGCACUUUGCAGUAUAGAAAAGCCCUUCGACAGGCAGCAUCACCCAGAAUGUGACUUGCUUGAAACCCCAGAGCCAGUUGGUGACAGAAACAGGACGAUCCGGGUGCAAUCCCAUGGUGGCUCACGCCUGCUAUCCCAGCACUUUGGGAGGCCAAGGCCGGAGG
ensembl:lncRNA novel transcript, antisense to ANK1